AGUGAACGCUGGCGGUAGGCCUAACACAUGCAAGUCGAACGGCAGCACAGGAGAGCUUGCUCUCUGGGUGGCGAGUGGCGGACGGGUGAGGAAUACAUCGGAAUCUACUUUUUCGUGGGGGAUAACGUAGGGAAACUUACGCUAAUACCGCAUACGACCUACGGGUGAAUGCAGGGGAUCUUCGGACCUUGCGCGAUUGAAUGAGCCGGUGUCGGAUUAGCUAGUUGGCGGGGUAAAGGCCCACCAAGGCGACGAUCCGUAGCUGGUCUGAGAGGAUGAUCAGCCGCACUGGAACUGAGACACGGUCCAGACUCCUACGGGAGGCAGCAGUGGGGAAUAUUGGACAAUGGGCGCAAGCCUGAUCCAGCCAUACCGCGUGGGUGAAGAAGGCCUUCGGGUUGUAAAGCCCUUUUGUUGGGAAAGAAAUCCAGCUGGUUAAUACCCGGUUGGGAUGACGGUACCCAAAGAAUAAGCACCGGCUAACUUCGUGCCAGCCGCCGCGGUAA
rnacentral:rRNA from 1 species